CGGGAGGCCGCCGACGGGGACGCCGUCACUGGCGUGGUCUUGCGCAGUGGUCGUCGUCUCUCUCCUCGCCGGCGCUUCCUUAGUUCACAACAUUUACAAGCCCGAUCUUGUUAACCUUGCCGCCAGUGAGUGAUGAAGGAGAGACAAAGAAAGGGCAAGAUGAAUGAUCACAAGCCUGGAGCUUUAUUCAAUGACGUUCAAAAGUAUCAUCAGAGUUUGAUGGUUGAUUAGAAUGAACUUGCAACAAAUAACACUGAAUUGUUUAAAGGAGGAGAAGAAGAAACAAAGUGAAAGCCAAGAUUGUGACAAGAAAAUAGCAGAAACUUCUGAUUAAAUGACACCAAGAUAGCAGUCUUUUCUUUUGCCAAAUGUGAUUGAUGUACCAAACUUGUUAUUCAGAACCAAUUAACAAAGAGUCUUGUGCUUUGGUGGCAUCAAUGUCUUGCCUCUUAUUUCUUUUCCAAUUGGAAAAAACCUGUGCUUCUAUCUUCUAAUUUUCAUACUAUUAGUGUCAUAAAAGUAUUCAUUA